AGGACGAACGCUGGCGGCGUGCUUAACACAUGCAAGUCGAACGGUAAGGCCUUUCGGGGUACACGAGUGGCGAACGGGUGAGUAACACGUGGGUGAUCUGCCCUGCACUUUGGGAUAAGCCUGGGAAACUGGGUCUAAUACCGAAUAUGACCAUUGGUUGCAUGACUGGUGGUGGAAAGCUUUUGCGGUGUGGGAUGGGCCCGCGGCCUAUCAGCUUGUUGGUGGGGUUAAGGCCUACCAAGGCGACGACGGGUAGCCGGCCUGAGAGGGGUGUCCGGGCCACGACCGUGGGACUGAGAUACGGCCCAGACUCCUACGGGAGGCAGCAGUGGGGAAUAUUGCACAAUGGGCGCAAGCCUGAUGCAGCGACGCCGCGUGAGGGACGACGGCCUUCGGGUUGUAAACCUCUUUCAGUAGGACGAAGCGCAAGUGACGGUACCUACAGAAGAAGGACCGGCCAACUACGUGCCAGCAGCCGC
rnacentral:rRNA from 1 species